AGUGAACGCUGGCGGUAGGCCUAAUACAUGCAAGUCGAACGGCAGCACAGUAAGAGCUUGCUUUUAAGGGUGGCGAGUGGCGGGUGGGUGAGACAUAGAUAGGAAUCCAAUAAGUCGGGGGGGAUAACGGAGGGAAACAGACGCUAAUAGAGAAUAUGACGUACGGGAGAAAGCAGGAGAGCUUCGGACCUUGGGCGUCAGAAAGAGACGGAGUCGGAUUAGAUAGGUGGGGGGGUAAAGGGACAGCAAGGCGACGCUCCGUAGCUGGUCCGAGAGGAUGAACCGCCACACUGGAACUUGGACACGGUCCCGACCCCUACGGGAGGCAGCAGUGGGGAAUUUUUGCCAAUGGGCGCAAGCCUUAUCCAGCCAUACCGCGUUGGUGAAGGAGGCCUUCCGGUUCUUAAGCCCUUUUGUUUGGAAAGAAAAACAUCAGGUUAAUACCCCGCUGUUCUGACGGUACCCAAAUAAUAAGCACCGGCUAACUUCGUG
rnacentral:rRNA from 1 species